GAUGAACGCUAGCGGCAGGCCUAAUACAUGCAAGUCGAACGGGAUCCAGAUCAAAGCUUGCUUUGGUCUGGUGAGAGUGGCGCACGGGUGCGUAACGCGUGAGCAACCUACCCUUGUCAGGGGGAUAGCCCGGCGAAAGUCGGAUUAAUACCGCAUGACAUCAUUGAGAGGCAUCUUUCGAUGAUCAAAGAUUUAUCGGACAAGGAUGGGCUCGCGUGACAUUAGCUAGUUGGUAAGGUAACGGCUUACCAAGGCUGCGAUGUCUAGGGGCUCUGAGAGGAGAAUCCCCCACACUGGUACUGAGACACGGACCAGACUCCUACGGGAGGCAGCAGUAAGGAAUAUUGGUCAAUGGACGGAAGUCUGAACCAGCCAUGCCGCGUGCAGGAGGACGGCCCUAUGGGUUGUAAACUGCUUUUAUACGGUAACAAACGUCGGUACGUGUACCGGUCUGAGUGUACCGUAAGAAUAAGGAUCGGCUAACUCCGUG
rnacentral:rRNA from 1 species